GUUCCUGUCUUGAAUCUGUCAAGCUGUUAACUAGUUUCUUCUCAGGUGACUGCUGAAGAUAAAGCAGGUUUUCAACAACUGUUUCAGGGACUAUUUGGUGAGUUUUUCAUCAUCAUUUUCAGCUGCAAGAGGGUCCUGACCAAGAAGAGGUCACAAUGAAUAAACAAAAUCUGAUUCAGAGACUAUGCCAAGCCAGGUGAUAAGAUCUUGAAGAACCAAGAUCCAGAGAGAAGUGAAAGGAAUCAGUGUUCCAUGGAACGGAAGUGCAUCAGGAAAGGAAAGAGAAAACAGAUUCAGACUAAAGCACGUGCCUGACAAUGUGUCUGCUGCAUUGCAUGAGGCAGCCUUGCUGCAGCCAACCAUAGUGGGUGCCCUUGUAGGUCCAAUUAAGAGGCUUAAUUGAAGAAUUCCAAGUUAGCAGACUGUCCUGGCACUCAGAGGAUAUUGUGCCUGGUAAUGAUAGUGUUGAAUUGGACAGAAAGAAUAUUCACAAAGCUUCAAGAAAGGCCUCCUCUGCUAAAAAUGCUCUCUGAUUAGCCAUUCACUGCUUCCUGAACUAUGAAGACAUCUUCUAGGAAUACUCAGGAUCUUCUGCUAUGUGGCUUUAAUUUAUUUUAAGAUUAAUUCCUCAUUACCUUCUUACACAAAGCCACCAUUAGCAUAUCAAGCACAGCUGUACAAAUUUUUAAAAGGCCAAAAGAUGUAUCUGCCAAUUCUAGGAGGAUAUAAACCUGAAGGCACAAAUCUGGGCUGGAGCACAUGGUUUCCCUUGUGAGAAGAAAAAGUCUCCUUCCUCUGAAUGGACACACCUUGCACACCAGGGCACAAGGUUUGUCUAGAAGAGCACAGCUGAACAUCAUAAAGUGCAGAACCACACACCUGGCAUCCUUGUCCCUACACAAGGUAUGUUGCUGUUAAAGUAUAAUUUGUUACUCUCCAAAGCACACUCACAAUUCCCUACUUGGGUCCCUUGUUGCAUGUUACUGCUCCUCAUUUAUGCAUUUGGAUGCUUUCUUAUAUUUUUCCUCAACCUCUACCACAUUCAGUUAGGCACUCAGCCUAUAUUUCAUGUAUACCUAUGUAGCAGGUCUUAUGACCAGAGUUGGGGAUGCACAGAAAUUGCAGAUUUCUUAUUCAUGACAUUACUUCUCAUCCCCACAACUCAAUAUGAUAAUUCCUUUCCCUAACCACCCCACUUCCCAAUGCACAUAGUAUUUUGUCUGUACUUUCCUUUGGGAAUUUACAUUUUCUACUCUUUCUAGUACUGUGCAAACAUAUGUUUUCUUUGCCAUUAAACUUAAUGGCAUGGACUUAAAAAUCUUGAUAUCUAGAACAGUGCCUAGCCCUGUAACUUGAGGAUAUAAAUUAAACUUAAUUGAAUUAUUCAUUACCUUCCUUGUAACUUUAACUGUCGCAUUAUGACUGUAACUCAAUCCGUGUAUUAUAUGUCAGCAAAGUUGAGCGCCUUUUCCGUGCAGUUACACUUUGAGUUACUUAAGGAUUACAUCCUUUUGCUAGAGUCCUCAAACAGCAUUUAGUGGCAUCUUUCAGACAUGUGGCGCUUGCAGAGCUCGAGAAAAGAUGGCAGAAUUAUAUGUCUUUUCCUUUUUCUUCUUUUUGGCAGCUCUUUACCUAAUGAUGUAGACUAUAUUUGAUACACUGUAGUUUUCUUAUUCUGCUAAAUUCCUCAUCAACACAUGACCUCGAUAGAUAUUGCUGUCAACAUCUUCAAUUUCUUCUUUCUAUUUAUCUUGACAAAUCCCUGGGUGCAGUAUUAAUUUUAUCUACCUUAGCAUGGAGGUGAUUAUUUUAGCUCAUUUUAAUGCUCCUUCUAUGUAGUUGCCCAUUAGUGAUCGCAAGAAGUUGAUUCUACAACCACUACUCCCCUCCUGCCUCACUGCAGAUACCAAAACUUUCAGUUCCUUGUAUAAAAUGGUAUUUGCGUAUAAUCUACACACAUCUUCCCAUAUACUUUAAGCCUUCUCUAGAUUAUUUAAAAUACCCAUUAUGAUGUAAAUGCUAUGUAAGUAGUUAUACUCUACUUUUUAUAUACAUAUUUUUAUUGUGGCAUUGUUAUUUUUAUUGGGUUAUUAAAAAUAUUUUCUGGCCUGGUGUGGUGGCUCACACCUGUAAUCCCAGCACUGUGGGAGGCCGAGGUGGGCGGACCACGAGGGCAGGAGGGCUAGACCAUCCUGGCUAACAAGAUGAAACCCUGUUUCUACUAAAAAUACGAAAAACUAGCCAGUCAUGGUGACAUGCACCUGUAGUCCCACCUACUCAGGAGGCUGAGGCAGGAGAAUCGCUUGAACCUGGGAGGCAGAGGUUGCAGUGAGCUGAGAUUGCACCACUGCACUCCAGCCUGGACAACAAAAGCGAGACUCCAUCUCAAAGAAAAAAAAUGCAUAUAUAUAUAUAUGUAUUCUAUCCACAGUUGGUUGAAACUGCAGAUGAGGAACAUGCAGAUACAGAGAGCUGACUGUAUUCUGGUCAUCAUUUCUUCUUUUUUGUUCCUUUGGGCCUACCAAGGGUGAUUACAAUUCUGCUUUUACUAGGCCUGGGUUAUCUCAGUCUCUUUGUAGUGUGAUGCAACUUUUAUAAAUAAUCUCUUUUUUAAACCCUCUUCAAAUUAUGGUAAUGUAAGAAUGACAUUUAUUUUCUGGAGGGGAGACUGCAUGAUUAAAAAGACAAAAAUAGAAUUGAAGGUUUUAACUAUAUGUGCAGUCUUAAGUGGAAAUGACAUACGGACACUGCCUAGAGGGCAGUUAUUCAGACAUUAAGUUUAAGAUCACUCAGCCAGACUGAGGAACAAAACUGUGGAGAACAGACAUUAAAGAUUAGAAAAAAUAGCGGGUCUAAAGUUCUAUGAAAGCACCAGAAUAUAAGAAUGAAAAGAUUAUGUCAAAGCAUGCAGCAAAACAGACAUGAGACUUGAGUGAGAAGUAGGGUCUUGUCAUUAAAGGUGAUUACAUUCUCUUCCAUUUAUACUAGGAACUGCAGAGAUAGGGACAAGACGUGUAUCUGUAACUGGUUGAGCUGCUGGUUGGAAGCACAUAAUUAAAAUAAUGGGGUACAGCAAUAAUUUUCUUUUAUUAACAUAUUAGAGCAAUUAAUUUAUUCAUCCUUUGAAAAGUAUGCAUUUUAGGGCCAUAUAUGUAUAUACUGAUCCUCCUCAAAAAUCUUCCAGUUCUUUUACCAAGACUGAACCCCGACUAUUUUGUAGUGAUCUGAGGAUUAGACAACCAAGUUAUUGGGAAUUAGAUUUAGAAUUAUACAAAGUUGUCCACGCCCUUAUGUCCAGAGCCUAUGAAUAUGUUACUUACCUGGCAAAAGACUUUUGCAGAUGUAAUUUAAAGUUAGGACCUUGAGACUAGAAGAUUAUCUUAUAUUAUUCGUUGGGCCCAUCUAUUCACAUGAGUCUUUAAGAGCAGACAACCUUUUCCGGCUAUGGUCAGAGAAAGAGAUAUGAUAAAGGAUGAAAGAAAGGGUCAGAGAGAUAUGACAUUCUUGGCUUUGACAAUGGAGGAAUGUGGGUGGCAUCUAAAUGCUGGAAAAGGCUAGAAAACAAAAUUUUCCCUAGAGCCAAGAACAAAAGAAGUUGCAAUCCUGCCAAAGCCUUCAUUUUAGCAUGGUAAGACCCCAUGCUGGACUUGUGAUUUAUGUAAACAUAAAAUAAUAAAUUUGUGUUGCUUUCAGCUAAUAAAUUUAUGGAAAUUUGUUACAGCAUUAAUAGAAAACUAAUACCAAAAUCAGUUUAUAGAAUACAGAACUUGGGAUACUUUGGAUAAGGAAAUAAAAUAUAACAGAAAAUUCCACCUGUCUUGGAAAAGACUUGAUAAGGUCAAAUGCCUAUCAGGAAGGAUCCUAUAAGGGUGAAAAAAAACAAUAAGGAAAACCAAGUCAGUAGGUCAACUGAGUUUGGCCAGAGAACUAUGUAAAAAGUCAAUAAUUUAUGAGUAGAAAAGUUGGUAUUAUUUAGAAACUCAAGACUACUCACUUUUUUUUUUUUUUUUGAGAUGGAGUCUCGCUUUGUUGCCAGGCUGGAGUGCAGUAGUGUGAUCUCGGCUCACUGUAACCUCUGCCUCCUGGGUUCAAGUGAUUCUCCUGUCUCAGCCUCCUAAGUAGCUGGGACUACAGGUGCACGCCACCACACCCAGCUAAUUUUUGUAUUUUUAGUGGAGACGGGGUUUCACCAUGUUGGCCAGAUGGUCUUGAUCUCUGGACCUCGUGAUCCUCCUGCCUCGACCUCCCAAAGUGCUGGGAUUACUGGGGUAAGCCACUCUGCCUGGCCUAUCCACUUUUUUUUUUUUGACAGGUGAGAGAUGACAGUGAUGGAGAUAGCUCACAUCUGCGUGCUCUUAACUGUUGCAUAGUACACUUGUUUACAUAUUUUUGCCAUGGGCAGAAACGGAAGAAGCCCAUUCAGUAUACAUACCAGUAUGUAAUGAUUAUAGGAAUAUUGGAUUUUGAUCACAACAUUUUAAUAAUGGCAUCCCCAAAAUUAAAAUAAUUUAAAUGUUCUGAAAAGAUGUUGUUUUCCAUUUCAAAAGGAUAAAUAAAACUGGAUAUGCUAUGGGAAUGAUAAAUCUGUACAUGGUUUGGGAAUGAUUUUCAGAUAAUGACCCAUAAGUCCUCUCUAGCCAAUACAUUUAAGGAGAUACUUUAGAGUUGGAGAGUAUGAUUCUUCCCUUAUUUAGGGCUAGAGAAGAAAAAGUUCUUCACAUUUGAAAGGAAAGAUAUGUUAAGAUAUACAAUGAAUUGUAUCUUUCCUUUGAAGUGUGAAAGUCAAGGUACACAAUUAGUCAAGGUAUACAAUUCAUUUCAAAAGCAGUUAUACCAUAAUAAACAAGUUUGAAACAUUUUCUAAAAGCCUUCAAUAUUUAAAAAAAUUGAUGUUUUAGAUUUUAUGAGUAUCCAUUUAAAAAAACCAGAAGUCAGCUGGUUAAUUCAAUGAAUGUAGAUUUUUCUCACAUUGUCGUGUUUCAGUACAAUUCACAGCUGUAUAAAUAAUGCCAUUCAUAAAUAGAACUCAAGCAAAUUCAAUUCUGUUUCUAUUAAUGUGAAACGUGCUAAAAUUUUCCACUUUUGUUUGCCUAAAGAACGUGUAUGUCUUGGCACACAAAAGCUCUCUUGUGUUCCUAUA